rnacentral:rRNA from 1 species
GACGAACCGUGCUAACGUUAUUCGGAAUCACUGGGCUUAAAGCGCGUGUAGGCGGAUGGGGACGUCGGUCGUUGAAAGCCCCCGGCUUAACCGGGGAACUGGCGCCGAAACGCCCCGUCUGGAGGGACGUAGGGGGACCUGGAACUUCCGGUGGAGCGGUGAAAUGCGUUGAGAUCGGAAGGAACGCCCGUGGCGAAAGCGAGGUCCUGGACGUCUUCUGACGCUGAGACGCGAAAGCUAGGGGAGCGAACGGG